UAAUCGCAGAUCAGAAUGCUGCGGUGAAUACGUUCCCGGGUCUUGUACACACCGCCCGUCACACCAUGGGAGUCGGGAAUGCCCGAAGUCAGUGACCCAACCGCAAGGAGGGAGCUGCCGAAGGCAGGCUCGAUAACUGGGGUGAAGUCGUAACAAGGUAGC
rnacentral:rRNA from 1 species